rnacentral:rRNA from 1 species
AGUGAACGCUGGCGGUAGGCCUAACACAUGCCAGUCGAACGGCAGCACAGUAAGAGCUUGCUCUUACGGGUGGCGAGUGGCGGACGGGUGAGGAAUACAUCGGAAUCUACUUUUUCGUGGGGGAUAACGUAGGGAAACUUACGCUAAUACCGCAUACGACCUACGGGUGAAAGCAGGGGAUCUUCGGACCUUGCGCGAUUGAAUGAGCCGAUGUCGGAUUAGCUAGUUGGCGGGGUAAAGGCCCACCAAGGCGACGAUCCGUAGCUGGUCUGGGAGGAUGAUCAGCCACACUGGAACCGAGACACGGUCCAGACUCCUACGGGAGGCAGCAGUGGGGAAUAUUGGACAAUGGGCGCAAGCCUGAUCCAGCCAUACCGCGUGGGUGAAGAAGGCCUUCGGGUUGUAAAGCCCUUUUGUUGGGAAAGAAAAGCAGCAGGUUAAUACCCCGCUGUUCUGACGGUACCCAAAGAAUAAGCACCGGCUAACUUCGUG